CAUCGGGACUCCGUUUUGGUGGAGCAACAACAGACGGAGGUAGGAGAUGUGGAGGGGGCGUCCAUGUGAGAUGGAGGAAGGAGAGAAGAUGAGGAGGUUUCCAUCUGCUGGUGCUCCCAUACAGAAAUAGAAGAGGGAGAGGAAGGGAAUAUGGUGGGAGCAGCCAUGGGAAUGGAAAAGAGAAGAUGGAGUGCUUCUUCUCUGGUGAUG
rnacentral:lncRNA from 1 species